ensembl:lncRNA
GGUUCAGUAGGUUUGGGCUGGGGCCUGAGAUUCUGCAGUUCUAACAAGCUUCCUGAUGACAUGAUGCAUCUGGCCCACGAACCAUGCUUUGAGUUGCAAGGUUGGGGGCUUUUCAAACACAGUGGCAUGUGGGAUUCGCCUGAAGAUCUCUUUAAAAAUAAUGACGCCUGGCCUCUUCCUUAGAAGAAAAUGCACACCAUGAUGGGGUCGUUUUGCUUCUAUGGAAGGCAUUGGUUCUACUUGCAGCUACCAAUGACCCCAUGCCUUUAAAAUGAGCACUUAUAAUAUGAUGUCUUGGCACCUGCAUCAGAUUGACUGGGACCUUUUAAGACCACGCUGAUGUGGCCAUCUACCAUAGUUCCUGGUUCAGUGUAUCUAGGGUCAGGACUGAGAAAUGGCCUUUCUAAAAAGUUCCUAUGAGGUGCCCUCAGAUAUUGGGCUGGGAACUAUGCCUCCCGCAUCCCUUGUUAACUACCACUUUAUUAUUUCAUGAGAUUCAUGGGAAGAGAGGUAUUAUGCCUUUAUAUUCUCCAUCUGCCACCAGUGCCUAGUAUGCAGAUGGCACAAACAAAUACCAUUUGAGUAAAAACUGAUGGCCAAAUCUUAUCUCAUUCAUAAUGAAAAUGCUUAUAGAAUAUUGGACAUUUCUUCUGGCCCAUUAAGGAUAAUGUUUUCCAAAGAGACUCCAAAAAUAACACUGACCUAGGGAUCUGUGCUACUGUGGAAUCUAGAGCGUCUGGGGACACUUUCUAUGAAAACUUCUCUUCCCCCAAGCCACUAAGGUACAGCCAUGCAAUCAGCAUGAUGUACAGGUUUGUUGACUGUUUAGGCUUCCAUUCAGGGGGUCUUGAAAUGGAGAAGCAACAGAAGUAUCUCCUCUAGGACCAUCUGCUUUCAAUUUUUCAGCUGAAUCUCCUGAAGACUCACCAGGUGCUAAUUUUGUAUAUGGUUCCAUUGGAAUUCUAUCAUUUUUCUCUAGAUUUUACUUCCCAAAGAAAAGGAAGGAUUCACUGAAGCAAAAAACCUCACUGGCAUAGAGAAGAUCAAGAGUGAUCCCCAGCUGAACAAAGGCCAAUUCUACAAAAAUAGUUGACAAAUUGGCUGAGUUUUAGUCAAUCCAUUUUUUAAAGUCACCUCCUGGCUUUUGGAUCAACCAUGCAGUCAGUCCAAUUCAGUUUCAGAAGGAGGAAACAGAUUGAUUGUUUUUAAACCUAUAUUU